UUAAUUCAAAUUUGUAUGGAAUUGGAACGUUUGCCUACGUUUGCCGCUAGGGGCGCUGUUCCGACUGCAUACAAAUCUGAGUUA
rfam:Bombyx mori DNA, contig: Bm_scaf21_contig15108, strain: p50T/Dazao, build 2, whole genome shotgun sequence.